rnacentral:lncRNA from 1 species
AGCAGUCAUAAAGAAGUCUUCCUUCUCGUCAAUGACUAGCUCGAUGCUGCAGUUGUAUAUCUAGUUCUUUGAUCUGAGGUGCAUCGACAGUUCACCUUGAGUGUUUUAUAGUUUGACUACACCAUAACUCGAUCUCCUAGCCAUUCAAAAUCUUGAGGUGUAUGUUGGCUGUAGCAUAUUCAUUGUAGGAGCUAGGUCGCACCA